rnacentral:sRNA from 1 species
AAAUGGGAGAAGUCAGACAGAAAACCAGUCCUGGGCCACUGAGGAGUGAAACAGGUCUGGGAAUGAGGCCCAGAGGCAGGUGGGAGGCCCCCAGCUGGAAAUGCCUGCCUUCUCCACUCCCAGCGUGGGCCAGAGGCAGCUUGUGUGCCUGGCCCGAGCCCUGCUCCGCAAGAGCCGCAUCCUGGUUUUAGACGAGGCCACAGCUGCCAUCGACCUGGAGACUGACAACCUCAUCCAGGCUACCAUCCGCACCCAGUUUGAUACCUGCACUGUCUUGACCAUCGCACACCGGCUUAACACUAUCAUGGACUACACCAGCCACUCUGGUCACAGAUGAAGAAGCAACUCAGGUGGCAGCUGGACCGUGACAGCACCAUGAGGAG